GUAGUAUGUAUGUAUGAAUGUAGUUUUAUCACCGACAAGAUGGCGGGGGGUGCGGGCUCCAGAGGAGUCACAGCCCUCACCCGGCGUAGCCGCACCUACGUCACCGCCCUGUCCCGGGAUCCGCCCGGCGGGCUGCGCUCACCCACCCACAGACUGCAGAAGAGGCAUCGGGUGUAGUAGCAGCGAUGUCUCCCGUACCAGGGUCCCAGGCUCGGCAGGCGGCUCCAUGGAGGAUAGCUCGCAGCGCCGACAUUCUAACAUCUGAGGUGCCUUUGGCAAGUUCUGGUAGCAAGGUGGCUACCGGUGAGGGAGGGCACCCAGAAUACAUUGCCUUCUACUUGGUUCCAAUCUUCUUCAUCAUGGGCCUAGCGGGAGUACUGAUCUGCCACAUUCUGAAGAAAAAAGGCUAUCGCUGCACUACAGCUGAGCCUGAGACGGAGGAGAAAAUCACCGGGGAGAAGAUCGAGAUGCAAGAUUCUUUGGCAGACACAAACAAUGAUACGGUCGGACAAAUUGUAAGCUACAUAAUGAAAAAUGAAGCAAAUGCUGAUAUUUUGAAAGCUAUGGUCGCUGACAGUUCCAUGGUGGCAGAUAACAGCCUGUAUGAUCCAGAGACCCCUAACACACCAAACACUCCUAAUACUCCAGUGAGUCCUACAAGUCCAGGAAGUCCAACCUCGCCUGGCGGAACACCCCUCAAACACUCGUGCCACGGAAACCACUUUCACACUGUUGGGGGCGUGGCUGAGAAAAAUGUCUGCAGCCGCUGCAACAACAAGCGGUGGAACUUCAAGUCGCCACAGAAACACAAAGAGCCGAAGAAGAACCGUCAAGGCGCUGUCACAGUCCUGGCUGUGGGAAGGUUCCGAGUCACCAAGGUAGAGCCAAAGUCCAAAGAGCGGAAACGCCUAAUGUCUGAGGGGACGGAAGCGACAAACGGUGAAGUACCUACUACACCGGUCACUGUGAAUACCAGACAUAGAAGCGGCACAGAAACAGAGAAUCAUAGCACGGUGGAGACCUGAAGUGUGAGGGUGUGCUCUCAUGCUUUGCCAGCCAUUUACCAAGUAAAGCCCUUCAUCCACCAAUCUCUCAGUGCCAGCAGAGAUGGUGCCUCAUUCCUUUGGGCCUUGAGAAGAUUUUAGAACGCCUAUAUAAGCGGAGAUGUCCGGGUGUAUGAGCUGCAUACAGGAAGCAUGGGUCUUCUCAUUUUAGUAGUACAGAAAUAAGAUAAAACAAAGUCAUUUUGUUACAUUUUUAGCAGUGUGCAUCUGUAGAGGAAACUAUUUUUAUAAUAAAUAGAGAAAAGUCUGAGUGACUUACUACACAAAAUAGAGAUGUUACUAAUAACAUACAAGGUGACAAAUGGAUUUAUGUAUGCUAUUAGUGUCAUGGUAUAUUUAGGGGUUGGGUAUGAGAUGCUGGUGGUCAAAAUACCGACGCUGGUAUCCCAAUGCUGAAGAUCCCGACAGGGGUGAGUUAAGUAUUGUAACUCACCCCCAUAACCCUAUCCUCCUGCAUUAGUGCCUAAGCAUAACCUCCCCAGUCAGUGCCUAAACCUAACCCCCCACACCCCGCAGUCUAACCCCCCCUGGUGGUGGUUAACUCUAUUCCUCCCCCCCUUCCUCCCAGCAGCCUAACCCUAACCUCCCUACCCCCGUAGCCUUACCCUAACCCCCCCUGGGUGGCAGCUAAAGCAUUGUAACUCUCCACCCCCUUAACCCUAACCAUCUGCGUUAGUGGCUGACCCUAACCUGCCUGUAGUUCCUAAACCUAACAACCCACACCCCGCAGUCUUAAAGCUUAAGCUCCCCCCCCUCCCCCCUCCUUGCAGCCUGACCCUUUAACCCUAACCCCCCAUCCCCACUGGUGGCAGCUAAAGCAAACUCCCCCCACCCCCUUCCCCUGCGGCCUAACACUAACCCUCCCAGCUAUAUUUGUCUUUGGGUUUCCGGGAUGUCUGGAUUCCGGCGUCGGGAUCCUGACAAUUUCUGAGUUUCGGCGUCUGUGUUCUGACUGGUGUCGGGAUUCUGGCGUCGGGAUUUCGGCUGCAGGAAUGACGACAGCCGGGAUCUUGAACUUAACCCAUAUUUAGAACACUAUUUGAGUACAGGAAGGCAGUUGUCACCUUGUUUAGUGUGUGUUAAGUUUCUAGACUAAUAUGUUAUUUUUAGAAGUAGAUGUCUCGGCCUCCAGACUUCUCAUUGUGACCUGGCUGCAUUGUUCUACAUUGCUGGCCUUACUUGGCCGGUAGUCUUUAGUUAUGUGAUGUGAAAUAGGAACCUUUUUUAAUGUCAAAUUAUAUGACAAAUAUCCAUGGGACCAGUAUUUAUAAUUCAGGGUAGGUGAUGGGCAAAUACAGGAUGUGACAUGUGUCUGACACUUGUUUGUGUUUUAUUACUCAUGUGCAAUAGUUUAUUGAGUUCCUUUAAAAUAUAUUCACAUGGAGGUUUGUUUUUUUGCUUGCUUCAUAUACAUGUCCAGCGUUAUGAUGAGCCAAAUCUAACCGGUCCUGAUUUGGCAAAGAUGCAGAUAUUUUGGUGGUGUUGCAGCGCGGUCAGAAGCGGCAAUUUCUUUAAAGAUAACCCCAGGUUGGGUUAGUCAUUGCAGCUUUACUUUCUGCUGCAAAAUUGCUGAAAAAUCUGCACUUUUGCCAAAUCGAUAGCAGUUGCAUCUGGCCCACGAUACCUUUUGUUUGAUAGCAUUUGUGUUAUCUAAGGGGUAUAUUUACUAAAGUGCUGGUUUAUAGUAGUGGAUAUGUUGGCCAUAGCAACCAAUCAGAUUAUAGCUACUAUCUUCUAGAAGGUGCAAGAUAAAUAAGUAGCAUUUGAUUGGUUGCUAUGGGCAACAUAUCUACUUUUGUAAACCCUCAUUUUAGUAAAUAUGUCGCUAGUAUUUUUUCUCCUUUUACUCAUAUCAUCCGUUAAGAUUUUAUUUUUAUCAGUGAAUAUUUGGUUGUUUGUACACCGUGUCAUUAAAUGGACUUUUUUAUUA